rnacentral:rRNA from 1 species
AUACAGAGGGUGCGAGCGUUAAUCGGAAUUACUGGGCGUAAAGCGCGCGUAGGCGGCUUGUUAAGUCAGAUGUGAAAUCCCCGGGCUCAACCUGGGAACUGCAUCUGAUACUGGUAAGCUAGAGUUUUGGAGAGGGAAGUAGAAUUUCAGGUGUAGCGGUGAAAUGCAUAGAGAUCUGAAGGAAUACCAGUGGCGAAGGCGACUUCCUGGCCAAAAACUGACGCUGAGGUGCGAAAGCGUGGGUAGCAAACGGGAUUAGAAACCCUAGUAGUCC